UGAUGAAGUUUCACUGAUCUGCAGUUAGUUCCUUCUAUGGAUCCUUAUGCAUAGUUGGUAGAUUCUGAAACAAAGAGAGCUUGUGAACAUGAGCAAGAAAUAUUUUCAUGUGUCACUUGUGGGAUCUUUUGUUUUGCUUGUGUUGCUAUUGAAGCAGCUGCUCAUUAUCUAUUGUUAGCCAGUUGCAUCACAUUUAAGAACUGGGGUGCUGGUGAUGAUGACUACAAUCACAUCAUACAUCCAAAGUCUCCCAACAGAAACCUUGGUUCAGGUCUGGUAAGAAAGAAACAAGGUCCUUCUGAUCUGCCAAUGAUAUGCAAAUAUGUGCGGAUCAGAUUCAAUAUAUGUGCCAAAGUAUGUGUGCUGGGUCAAAAUGAAUCUGAUUCUUCAUCUGAUUCAGCACUGAGCCAAAGAAAGUGAGUUAUCACGCUGUUGCUGCUGGCGAUGUCCAUGUUCUACUUUCUAUGAGUGCUGAGACUAUAGCAUCCCCUAUGAUCCAUGUGAUCACUGCAGCAGUGGCAAGACAUUCCUAAGGUUGAGACUUUUGCUUGAGGACAAUAUAAGGGAGUCAAUCUUUUGGAGAAGUAUGGCCUAAGCCCUGGUACAUUGAAGGGAGAACAACACAAGGGAAUAGGGGGAUGAAAAUGUUGGCAAAAUCUUCAUUAACUUUGGGAGCAUGGAUGACAUUUCUGAAGUUUCUGGUGGAAAGGAUGGAAAUGAUUCUGAGUAUGAGCUUUUGGUUUGCAGUCCAUCCAAAAUUGAGUCUUAGGUGGCUCCUUCCAGAGUUCAAGGGAUGAAGGUGGAUUCCUACUUGGAAGUCUCUUCCAAACAGUGAUAAGUCAGUAUUGGAGUGAAGGCAGAGUCUGAAAAAGUGACUUGCCUUGUUUCUCAUAGUUGGAAUGACGUCUAAAAAUAGAUGCCUCUUGUGCCUUAUAGGAACAUAAUAAGACAUGGCUGAGAAUGAAAACAGUUGCUGAACUGAGGAGGGUAAUCUUCCAGCGCCGAUCAACACGGAUUCACUUUACACGCCUAUUGACAAGAAGCCAACGAAGUUCAAUCCAUUGGUCACAAUACUUAAAUUAUGUGAUGCGCUUUUGAUUGAUAAUUUUUUUAUUGGUAAUUUUAUAACGUUUAUUUUUUAAUAUGCUUUUUAUUAGUGAAAACAUUAAAUGAGACACA